UACGUAGGGGGCAAGCGUUGCUCGGAAUCACUGGGCGUAAAGGGCGCGUAGGCGGGGAGGUAAGUCGGGUGUGAAAUCCCUCGGCCCAACCGAGGAACUGCGCCCGAGACUGCUUCUCUUGAGUCCCGGAGAGGAAGGUGGAAUUCCCGGUGUAGCGGUGAAAUGUGUAGAGAUCGGGAGGAACACCGGUGGCGAAGGCGGCCUUCUGGACGGUGACUGACGCUGAGGCGCGAAAGCGUGGGGAGCAAACGGG
rnacentral:rRNA from 1 species